rnacentral:rRNA from 1 species
CAGUAGCCGCGGUAAUACGUAGGGUGCGAGCGUUAAUCGGAAUUACUGGGCGUAAAGCGUGCGCAGGCGGUUAUAUAAGACAGAUAUGAAAUCCCCGGGCUCAACCUGGGACCUGCAUUUGUGACUGUAUAGCUAGAGUACGGUAGAGGGGGAUGGAAUUCCGCGUGUAGCAGUGAAAUGCGUAGAUAUGCGGAGGAACACCGAUGGCGAAGGCAAUCCCCUGGACCUGUACUGACGCUCAUGCACGAAAGCGUGGGGAGCAAACAGGAUUAGAUACCCGAGUAGUCCCUGUCUCUUAUAC